GAUGAACGCUAGCUACAGGCUUAACACAUGCAAGUCGAGGGGCAGCGCAGUGUAGCAAUACAUGGGCGGCGACCGGCGCACGGGUGCGUAACGCGUAUCCAACCUUCCCGUUACUCUCGGUUAGCCUUCCGAAAGGGAGAUUAAUACGAGAUGGUGUUGAAAUUCCGCAUGUUAUUUCAACUAAAGAUUCAUCGGUAACGGAUGGGCAUGCGGCGCAUUAGCUAGUCGGCGGGGUAACGGCCCACCGAGGCGACGAUGCGUAGGGGUUCUGAGAGGAAGGUCCCCCACACUGGAACUGAGACACGGUCCAGACUCCUACGGGAGGCAGCAGUGAGGAAUAUUGGUCAAUGGGCGGAAGCCUGAACCAGCCAAGUCGCGUGAGGGAAUAAGGCCCUAUGGGUCGUAAACCUCUUUUGUCGGGGAGCAAAGGCGUCCACGUGUGGGCGCAAGGAGAGUACCCGAAGAAAAAGCAUCGGCUAACUCCGUG
rnacentral:rRNA from 1 species